UACGUAGGGUGCAAGCGUUAAUCGGAAUUACUGGGCGUAAAGCGUGCGCAGGCGGCUUUGCAAGACAGAUGUGAAAUCCCCGGGCUCAACCUGGGAACUGCAUUUGUGACUGCAAAGCUAGAGUACGGUAGAGGGGGAUGGAAUUCCGCGUGUAGCAGUGAAAUGCGUAGAUAUGCGGAGGAACACCGAUGGCGAAGGCAAUCCCCUGGACCUGUACUGACGCUCAUGCACGAAAGCGUGGGGAGCAAACAGG
rnacentral:rRNA from 1 species